rnacentral:rRNA from 1 species
AGUGCGGUCGCAAGAUUAAAACUCAAAGGAAUAGGCGGGGACCCGCACAAGUGGUGGAGCAUGUGGUUUAAUUCGAAGAUACGCGAAGAACCUUACCUAGCCUUGACAUAUUUUAGAACACUUUAGAGAUAGAGUGGUGCCUUCGGGAGCUAAUAUACAGGUGCUGCACGGCUGUCGUCAGCUCGUGUCGUGAGAUGUUGGGUUAAGUCCCGCAACGAGCGCAACCCUCGUCACUAGUUACUAACGGUUCGGCCGAGGACUCUAGUGAGACUGCCUUCGUAAGGAGGAGGAAGGUGAGGACGACGUCAAGUCAUCAUGGCCCUUACGGCUAGGGCAACACACGUGCUACAAUGGCCAGGACAAUGAGAAGCGAUACCGCGAGGUGGAGCAAAUCUAUAAACCUGGUCUCAGUUCGGAUUGUAGUCUGCAACUCGACUACAUGAAGCUGGAAUCACUAGUAAUCGUAGAUCAGCUAUGCUACGGUGAAUACGUUCCCGGGUCUUGUACACACUGCCC